rnacentral:lncRNA from 1 species
CACCUCUGCAGUAGCAGUUAUCACUGCAUAGAAUAUAGUUCCUGUAAAAUAGGCUCUCCCAAUAACAAAUAUUCUACACUAAAAGGGAUAAUUAUUAAACAAAUAUAAAGUAAGUGUAUAAAAACGUGACACAAAUAUUCUGUCCGGAUUUACAAACAACAAGAUACACAAUACAGGUCUGUCUACCUCCUACUCGAGUGUUUUGGGAGGACCUGGCGCUCGAAUGCCAGAUUCCCCCAAAACACUCGAUUCUUUCUGUUAUGAGGAAUCGAGUGUUUUGGGACGUCCCAACACUCGAUUUUCAUACCCUUGAAUUUUGAUCCAUUGGUUAUAACUAAAAGCUGCUUUAAUGAAUAAUCUGAGCUUUAAGAAGCUUUUUCAUAUAUACAAAACAACGUGGUCAAAAGAAAGUAAAAGAUUCAGUGGUAACACAAUAGAAUUUUGUACAGAUUUAUAUUAGACAUAAUAUUAAAUGGAUCAGGUCCUUAGCUGAGCAAAAGAAGCACAUACGCAUUCUUUUUUAAAUAACAUAAAAAGUCUUCAGCUAACUAUGUAGGAAGCAAUAGUACUACAGAAGCAAUAGUACCAGAGAAGAGUCUAAAAAUCUAGAAGCGGAAAUCUAAUUUAGAGACAGCUGAAUCAGGAAGAGGUCUGCGUCUAAAAAUCAAUACCUACAUGAAGUGAAUGUGUUGAACAACUAAGUCAAUUAAGAGGCGAAGAUUCCACUAGAUUAUAAUCAUUAACCUAAAUUAUCACACCCCACAAUGAAACAACAAAUACAUUCAAAUGCCCAACUAUACAUCCGCAAAAGCUUGAAUCAUAAGAGAAGCGCCGCCUAUCGAACUGGAACCUAGACACUAAAAUGAACAGUAAGAACAGGGGGGGCGAAAUUCCUCACUCGGGGUUCGAAUUGUCAGCAAAAAGAUGGUUCAAAUCAAUACCUCCAGCUAAAAAAGAGGCAUGGUUCGCAAAAAUCCAAAAUAGUCUCCAUAACAAGCCGGGCCCAUAUGUCAGGGAAAAAAAACAAACCAACACCAAGUAUAUCGGAGGGCAGAAGACGGAACAGAUGGCAGAUUGAACGGCAAAAACAAAUCGAACGCUGAGAAGCCUCAAAACGCUCAAGUGCCAUAUAGAUUGUUCGCUAAAACAAGGAAAAUAACAUGCUGGCUAUACUUGUAAGAGGCUGUCUAGUCAAUACUUGCAAGAAAAGGGUAUUUUACAUACCCUUGUCAGUACCAUGGAAACAACGACAUGCAUUCAAAAUAAAACUACACCUCAACUGCAAAAAAAAGUAUAUAAUUAUAUUCUAAGCAAUAAGAAAAUAAAGUAUUACGCCAAAAUAAAUAUUAUGAGUUGUACUAUGAGGACUAAUUUACAUACUAGACACAUAUAACUUACGCCCAAUUAGGUAUUGUACUAAUAGUAAUCUCAUCAAGUACUGUCAUGAAGUUAGAAUAUACAAAAAAGGAUAUACCACCAAAGCUCCCUCACAUAACCAGGUAUAGACAUAUCAGUGAAUCAAGUACGAAUUAAUCAAUUGUUCAGAUUGUUUGUAAGGACACCGGAUCAAACAGAUUCAUGUGAGAGGUUCCACUAUACCAGCACUAUAAAUAGGCAAACAUAAUAUGUGAACGAUAAAAAGAUAAUGCAUAUUUAAAAUCAUAUUGGAACUUAUACUGCACUAGGGUGAAAUAAUCUAGUUAUUCAAUACAACUGGGAAUCAUCUAGGCAAACACAAUAUGUGCAGGAUAAAAAGAAAAUAAAUAUUUGAAUUUAGAUUGGAACUUGUCCUGCACUGGAGUGAAAUAUAACUAAUAAUUCAAUACAAUUUGAGAAUCAUCUAAAUUAACAGCACCAAUAUUUGAACAAACUACAUAGAAAGGGAUCUGAUAAUGGGUAGUUGAUACAUACGGACUUAGAAGGGAAUAUAAAUAAUGACAUAUGCCAUGUGAAGCAGAAUAACUAGUCAGUUGAAUGGGGUCACCAUCAAAUUACCCAACCCAACACUACUAACAGGAUUACGAGUGCCUAAAAGUCCAGAUAUAAACUAGGGGAGGACCUAUUAAUUGCCAAAACAUAAUAGCAAAUAAGAAAUCGACUCUAGUACAUAAAAUUAGUGAAACUCUAAGCACUAUAGCCUGGAAUUUUCGUUCACUAGAACAACCCCUCACUCAACAAUAGCAAAACAACCUACGAAUCAUUACUAAUCUAAUUAGCACAAAUCAGAACAGCGAAAAUCGUGUGUAACACAACGAAUCCUGGAUGAAGCAUCACAGACGAACACACAAAUCGAUUCGAACUGCAGGGAAUUGCAAUCAUCGAUUGAAACUAAAAAUUAGUCAGUAAAAUAACGAUUCAACAAUAACACCUACCACCUAUAAAAUCUAGUCAAAUAACAGAAGUUAUACAUGAGGGAAUGAACCGAAUCUAACAUAUCAAACCUUAAAUGAAGCAAAUGAGAUGAGCAAAUGAAAUAUUUUGAGAUGAGGGGAUCGAAAUCAGUGACCAAAACAUCCACCAAUCGAUGCGCCAACACUUCACAAACCCUAACCACAGCUACUGGAAUCGAAUCGCAGGAAAAAGUCGGGGGAAACUCGAAAUCGAGAGGAAUCUCCAAACCCUAGAAACAUUCACCUGGAGGAGAGCUCGAGGACUCCGACGAAAAGACGUGGGAACUGUUCGGGAAAAGCAGGGGACGGUUCGGGGAGAAGCAGUCGGCCUGGAUAAGCCACCUCCAAAUUCCAACUUUGAAAAUAUGCAAAAAGAAAAUUUCCCAUCACAUCAAAUUUACGGUACAUGCAUGGAGUACUAAAUGUAGACGAAAUUAAAAACUAAUUGCUCAGUUUUGUUGUACUUUGCGAGACGAAUCUUUUGAGCCUAAUUAGUCAAUAUUUGGACAAUAAUUCACAAAUACAAAC